AAUGCGCUAAGUAAUGUGAAUUGCAGAAUUCAGUGAAUCAUCGAAUCUUUGAACGCACCUUGCGCUCCUUGGUAUUCCUUGGAGCAUGCCUGUUUGAGUAUCUUGAAAUCUUCAAAGUAAAUCUUUUGUUAACUCAAUUGGUUUCUACUUUGGUAUUGGAGGUCUUUGCAGCUUCACACCUGCUCCUCUUUGUUCAUUAGCUGGAUCUCAGUGUUAUGCUUGGUUCCACUCGGCGUGAUAAGUUAUCUAUCGCUGAGGACACUGUAAAAGGUGGCCAAGGUAAAUGCAGAUGAACCGCUUCUAAUAGUCCAUUGACUUGGACAAUACUUUUAUGAUCUGAUCUCAAAUCAGGUAGGACUACCCGCUGAACUUAAGC
rnacentral:misc_RNA from 1 species